UGCUGUUUCGCUGACGAGUGGCGGACGGGUGAGUAAUGUCUGGGAAACUGCCUGAUGGAGGGGGAUAACUACUGGAAACGGUAGCUAAUACCGCAUAACGUCGCAAGACCAAAGAGGGGGACCUUCGGGCCUCUUGCCAUCGGAUGUGCCCAGAUGGGAUUAGCUAGUAGGUGGGGUAACGGCUCACCUAGGCGACGAUCCCUAGCUGGUCUGAGAGGAUGACCAGCCACACUGGAACUGAGACACGGUCCAGACUCCUACGGGAGGCAGCAGUGGGGAAUCUUCCGCAAUGGACGAAAGUCUGACGGAGCAACGCCGCGUGAGUGAUGACGGCCUUCGGGUUGUAAAGCUCUGUUAAUCGGGACGAAAGGCCUUCUUGCGAAUAGUGAGAAGGAUUGACGGUACCGGAAUAGAAAGCCACGGCUAACUACGUGCCAGCAGCCGCGGUAAUACGUAGGUGGCAAGCGUUGUCCGGAAUUAUUGGGCGUAAAGCGCGCGCAGGCGGAUAGGUCAGUCUGUCUUAAAAGUUCGGGGCUUAACCCCGUGAUGGGAUGGAAACUGCCCAUCUAGAGUAUCGGAGAGGAAAGUGGAAUUCCUAGUGUAGCGGUGAAAUGCGUAGAUAUUAGGAAGAACACCAGUGGCGAAGGCGACUUUCUGGACGAAAACUGACGCUGAGGCGCGAAAGCCAGGGGAGCGAACGGGAUU
rnacentral:rRNA from 1 species